UACAGAGGUCUCAAGCGUUUGUUCGGAAUCAUUGGGCGUAAAGGGUGCGUAGGCGGCUUCCUAAGUUUGAUGUGAAAUCCCGGGGCUCAACCCUGGAAUUGCAUUGAAUACUACCUUGCUAGAGUACCGGAGAGGAAACUGGAAUUUACGGUGUAGCAGUGAAAUGCGUAGAGAUCGUAAGGAAGACCAGUGGCGAAGGCGAGUUUCUGGACGGUAACUGACGCUGAGGCACGGAAGGCCAGGGGAGCAAACGGG
rnacentral:rRNA from 1 species